AUUAUUAUUCAGUGGUAGUAGUGUAGCUAAUGAGGUUAAUCUGAGGCAAAAUUAUUGCUAAUUGAAAACUUUCCCCAGGCUUUUCUUUCCAAUAUUUAAUUUAAUUCCCCAGAAU